GGCAGCAUGGCAUAGUGGUGCGAGUGUUGGGCUACGACUCUGGAGACCAGGGUUCAAUUCCCGGCUCAACCA